CGACCGGCGCACGGGUGAGUAACACGUAUCCAACCUGCCGAUAACUCGGGGAUAGCCUUUCGAAAGAAAGAUUAAUACCCGAUGGCAUAAUAGAACCGCAUGGUUUGAUUAUUAAAGAAUUUCGGUUAUCGAUGGGGAUGCGUUCCAUUAGGCAGUAGGUGGGGUAACGGCUCACCUAGGCGACGAUCCCUAGCUGGUCUGAGAGGAUGACCAGCCACACUGGAACUGAGACACGGUCCAGACUCCUACGGGAGGCAGCAUG
rnacentral:rRNA from 1 species